GGGACACACUGAGUUCCCAUAGCACACACGUCCCCAAUCCCAGAAACUUUACUCUUCUGACCAAAAAUCAGAACUCAAAAUCUGAAAUCUGAUGGAACAAUAAGCCGAAGAAGGGAAACCAGGCUGUCCUGGAAAGAAAACCUCAGAAGUGUGGGACAAACACAGGGCACCAUCUCCCCGUGUCCUAGGAAGCUCUCCACAUCGGGCCCCUCCCACCCAUCCUGCCACCCACUCCAGGAGUAGAGAAGACAGCCCUUGAGAUGGGG
rnacentral:lncRNA from 1 species